rnacentral:rRNA from 1 species
GAUGAACGCUGGCGGCGUGCCUAAUACAUGUAAGUCGAACGGAGAGUAUAGUAAUAUAUUCUUAGUGGCGAACGGGUGAGUAACGCGUUGGUGACCUGCCCCGAAGAGGGGGAUAACAGCUCGAAAGGGCUGCUAAUACCCCAUGUGGUCGCUUGGGUUAGAGACCUUGCGACUAAAGGAGCAAUCCACUUCGGGAGGGGCCUGCGUCCCAUCAGCUAGUUGGUAGGGUAAUGGCCUACCAAGGCGACGACGGGUAGGGGACCUGAGAGGGUGAUCCCCCACACUGGCACUGAAAUACGGGCCAGACACCUACGGGUGGCAG